rnacentral:tRNA from 1 species
GCCACCAUAGCUCAGUGGCAGAGCACUGGUCUUGUAAACCAGUGGUCGUGAGUUCGAUUCUCACUGGUGGCU